GGCUCGCAGGCGGUUUCUUAAGUCUGAUGUGAAAGCCCCCGGCUCAACCGGGGAGGGUCAUUGGAAACUGGGAAACUUGAGUGCAGAAGAGGAGAGUGGAAUUCCACGUGUAGCGGUGAAAUGCGUAGAGAUGUGGAGGAACACCAGUGGCGAAGGCGACUCUCUGGUCUGUAACUGACGCUGAGGAGCGAAAGCGUGGGGAGCGAACAGGAUUAGAUACCCUGGUAGUCCACGCCGUAAACGAUGAGUGCUAAGUGUUAGGGGGUUUCCGCCCCUUACUGCUGCAACUAACGCAUUAAGCACUCCGCCUGGGGAGUACGGUCGCAAGACUGAAACUCAAAGGAAUUGACGGGGGCCCGCACAAGCGGUGGAGCAUGUGGUUUAAUUCGAAGCAACGCGAAGAACCUUACCAGGUCUUGACAUCCUCUGGGAGCGCUAGAGAUAGGGCUUUCCCUUCGGGGACAGAGUGACAGGUGGUGCAUGGUUGUCCUCAGCUCGUGUCGUGAGAUGUUGGGUUAAGUCCCGCAACGAGCGCCACCCUUGAUCUUAUUUGCCAGCAUUUAGUUGGGCACUCUAAGGUGACUGCCGGUGACAAACCGGAGGA
rnacentral:rRNA from 1 species